GUGAGGAAUAUUGGUCAAUGGGCGGGAGCCUGAACCAGCCAAGUCGCGUGAAGGAAGAAGGAUCUAUGGUUCGUAAACUUCUUUUGCAGGGGAAUAAAGUGCAGGACGUGUCCUGUUUUGUAUGUACCCUGAGAAUAAGGAUCGGCUAACUCCGUGCCAGCAGCCGCGGUAAUACGGAGGAUCCGAGCGUUAUCCGGAUUUAUUGGGUUUAAAGGGUGCGUAGGUGGUUUGAUAAGUCAGCGGUGAAAGUUUGCAGCUUAACUGUAAAAAUGCCGUUGAAACUGUCGGACUUGAGUGUAAAUGAGGUAGGCGGAAUGCGUGGUGUAGCGGUGAAAUGCAUAGAUAUCACGCAGAACUCCGAUUGCGAAGGCAGCUUACUAAGCUACAACUGACACUGAAGCACGAAAGCGUGGGGAUCAAACAGGAUUAGAUACCCCGGUAGC
rnacentral:rRNA from 1 species